rnacentral:rRNA from 1 species
GAAACUCGCCUACAUGAAGCUGGAGUUACUAGUAAUCGCAGAUCAGAAUGCUGCGGUGAAUGCGUUCCCGGGUCUUGUACACACCGCCCGUCACACCACGGAAGUUGGGGCGCCCGAAGCCACUUAGCUAACCCAUUUGGGAAGCGAGUGUCGAAGGUGAAAUCAAUAACUGGGGUGAAGUCGUAACAAGGUAGC